rnacentral:rRNA from 1 species
AUUAACAAGAAAUUAAUUUAUUUACCUUUUGUAUCAGGGUUUUUUAAAAUUAUUAAUAAGUUAUUUUUCUCGAAUCAAUAAUGAACUAAUUGAUUUAUUUUUGUUGUAGCAAAUAAUUAAUUAUUUUAGUAAUGAAAUAUUAUCGUAUUUUGGGUUAUCUAGUUAUUUAAAUAUUUUAAGUUAUAGUUAAUUAUUAAUUAAUUAAGUAGAAAAGUUAAUUUUUUUAUUUUUUUAUAUAUAUAUUAUUUUUUAUAUUUUAUUAAUUAGGUUUAAUAUUAAUCAUAUUUAUCUAUUGUUAUAAAUAAUUAAAUGUUUAAUUGUUUGUGUUAUAUUUAUUUAAGUUAUUAAAAUUAAUAAAUUAUUUUAAAAAAUAAUGAAUUAAUUAGUACUAGGUAAAUAUUGUAUAUUUAACUCGUAGUUUAUUUGAUAGUUUAACAAAAACAUUUUUUUAAGUUUAUUUAAGAUAAGGCCUGCCCAGUGAAUUUAAACGGCUGCAGUAUUUUAACUGUACUAAGGUAGCAUAAUCAUUUGUUUUUUAAUUGAAAACUGGUAUGAACGGUCUUACAAAUAAUUAAUUGUAAUAUAUUUAUUUUAGUAAUUUUUAUUUUAUAUAAAAAUAUUUAAAUGUGAUAAAGGGACGAUAAGACCCUAAAAGCUUUUUUAUUAGUUUUAUUUAAAAUAAGUAAAAUAAAUAAAUUUAGUUGGGGUAACGUAAAUAUAAAUUUUAUUUUAUGUUUGAUCAGUAAUAAUUGGUUUUUUGAUCUUUUAUAUGAAGAAAAAUAGAAUUAGUUACUUUAGGGAUAACAGCGUAAUAAUUUUAGAAAGGCCUUAUUAAUAAAGUUGAUUACGACCUCGAUGUUGAAUUAAAAUAUCUGUGUGCUGUAGUAGGUACUUAAGAAGGUUUGUUCAACCUUUUAUUUUUUACAUGAUUUGAGUUCAAAU